rnacentral:rRNA from 1 species
CGUAGGGUGCGAGCGUUGUCCGGAAUUAUUGGGCGUAAAGGGCUCGUAGGCGGUUUGUCGCGUCGGGAGUGAAAACCCAGGGCUUAACCCUGGGCUGGCUUCCGAUACGGGCAGACUAGAGGUAUGCAGGGGAGAACGGAAUUCCUGGUGUAGCGGUGAAAUGCGCAGAUAUCAGGAGGAACACCGGUGGCGAAGGCGGUUCUCUGGGCAUUACCUGACGCUGAGGAGCGAAAGUGUGGGGAGCGAACAGGAUUAGAUACCCUGGUAGUCCACACCGUAAACGUUGGGCGCUAGGUGUGGGGUCCAUUCCACGGAUUCCGUGCCGCAGCUAACGCAUUAAGCGCCCCGCCUGGGGAGUACGGCCGCAAGGCUAAAACUCAAAUGAAUUGACGGGGGCCCGCACAAGA